rnacentral:lncRNA from 1 species
CUAAUGCUGGGUAUUGGCGUAAGUCCGACUGACAACUCAGUGAGCUCCCUGAGGGUACUUGCAGUGAACGGAGUUUCUUCCAUAGAAAAGGCGCUCUCCAGCUGAAGACAUUGUUGCAAUUCAUGAGCUUGAAUUUCAUGCCGCUGUCGUGCUGGCCCACGGUUCGCGCAAAACUACAAUAUAUACAUAUAUACAGCAGUAUGCGUGCUCCGCUCGAGCACACUACAGCGUCCACUGGGUAAAAGUGUGGGGCGGAAGCGCUGUUGGACGUGUUGGGUGUUAGUAAAAGAUAUGAGUGAGUGCGCCUGCUGGCGUUUUGUCAACGUUUCAAAUGGUGGAUGGGAGUAAAUCGAGGUCUAGGUACCUAAACGACGGUUUCACAGCUUUCUGCUCUACUGUACAUACGUGGCCUCACGAUGCGGUUGUCUGCAUUACGUGGCUUCUUCGUCACCAUGGACUGCCUGAUCGGAUUUACAGCUUAUUGCAGCAGUAAGGUUCUUGAAUUUGUAUUGCAGCGAACAACUGUAUCCUUCAAAUUUCGAUCUACUAAAUGAUGAACGCCUGCGAACAAGUAGACGUGUGGUGCUCCUGCGCAUGAGAUGUGAUUCAGUCCCUGCUCCCCGACCCCCCAGCAUGAGCAACGCUAAACUCAUCGUGCCGUCUCAUGUGUCCCAGUGUCGAGUGAGCGUUUGUCAGUACACCCCUCCGCCGCUGUGAAUGUGGGCCGAUUGACUGCACUGUCACAGUUAUAUGCGUUUCAGCAAGUGACAACGUCGUCAGAUAACACCCGAGCGGAAUAUGCAGUAUGUUGAGCAAGAACCACAAUGCAGGUCUGCCUCGCCCAGAUUGGAUGUCCGCGAUUUUUGCUUGCGACGCUGCCUUCCGCCAGCUGCAGUGUCAAUGCUCUCCGUCGCCUCUUUUGACAGCAGCUGGACCGCACCACACGGUACUUGAGGCCUUCGGGUAUCUACGAUGAGCAAGUGGUCAUUUUCUCAUUUCAUGGAUGUGCCACACACUUACGAUCAAACUAGUAACCGAGACAGCGUUAUACGGAAAUCUGAGCCAGCAAAGAAAUAUUCGGUGGACCAGCUGGAUGUUCAGGUGCUUGUACGCUUGGCGGAAAAUAAUAUGUUUCCAAGAAGUGCGAUCUGAGUUUCAACACCAGUGCCUCUCGCCUUUCCCGCUACCUGACGGACGGGAGAUCAGUCCAUCAGUCCCGCUGUACCCGAAAUCUUAGGGAUAUCGACUGUGCUGCCACGAAGGUCUGAUAUUUGUUCGUAAUCAAUAGGCGCUCGUUGCGAGAACAGUGAGUCACCAUUUUUGCGUUGCAGUGUAUUCAGCUACUAAAUUAGGGGUUCUCGCCCAGUGCCCUCUUUCAUGCCUAGCGGAAUACAUACCUGGAAUUGUGAGCGGGAGGGAGUGUAGUUCGGGAACCUGGCCGGUUCUCAAUGCCUUAUGUUGCUGGUAGACAAGUACGCGAAGUGUAUCUCAGAUCGAGUCUAAUACCGCGUUUCCUAUGAACAGAAGGCAGAUAAAUAUGAAACGGCAACGCGAGUGCGAUACUGGCGUAUGCGGGGACCGAUGCAAAGGAGCACUCGCAGUGAUGGGCUGACGGUCCUAAGGUACACGCUCAUACGCUGCUCGGGGGGAGAAUGAGAGGACUUGGAUCUGCCUGUUGGUAGCCACACAUCUGGUUUUGUAAUUGAAUUAUAGAGCAGCCCUACUGUAUAAACGGCGGAUCUGUAAGGAUUUCCCCCUGAAGCGUUACGCCCUGCUAGCAACGCGAACCUGCGUCGUAGGGGGCUCACGCUGCCCUAUGGCUCUAGAAUCUUUCAGCGAUGGCCUUGACGCAUGGUAACACCAAACGUGCUGCAUCCGCCUUUGAAUCCCGCUAGAGUCUAGCACGCUGCAGGUCCAAGCGUAGAAUGCGCUCGGGUGGGGGAAUUAGGCCGCAAGUUAUCAAGCAUGAUCGCGAGGAAGAAAGCGGAGUGGCCGCACUCUACCCAGGCGUCAGGUAAAUAUACGUUUUCGCGGAUCCGUAUACCGUGGCUGCGCCGACCUUUCUACAGGCACGUCAUCGCAGACUUUCGCAAACGCCGCGUUUCUGUACGUGCGUGACUUUUCGGAUGAGUAUGUGACAUAAGAUCGUCCGUGUGGAAGUCCCAAGACCAUAGAAAGUGGAAGGAUGCGGACCAGGUCCGUUCAACCGACCCUUUAUUUCGUUGUUUGUCGCUGUGAUUCUGUCCUUCGACUACCCGCACCGCGCAACAAGUGCUGCGUGCUGGCAUUUACUCUGCUUUUCGCUGAAGUAGUUCGAUUUGCCCUCGAAAAGUGAUGAUGCUUGGAGGGAGCUCACAACUGUGUUCAGGCAAUGACGACACUUGUCAUUUAUGUGAUCCUGGCGCAGCAUCGAUCACCUGAUGUUUCCGUCCACAUCUCUUCUCGCAAAUUUUCAAGUGCCCGUGAUGUUCGGUCGCGAAUCGAUUGCGUGUUCAGAUACGCGUAAGUUUCCCUCUGUGUCUCCAGUCUUACUGGCUGCAGCCAAACUGUAGUGAUGGACAUGGAGGAGGAAAGACACUUGUGAUUCGGCAGCUAUACCAUAAUCUGCGAAUGCGGUCUUGUGGAAAAGGUUUCACGAUCUUUCCGUGUAUACCGAGAGACGUAGACGACGGCAGUCAGGUGACAGUUCGUUCAGAAGGGAAUUACUAUGUGUGGCUCCGCUUAGCGAGAGUGCGCUAGUGAGAGGUUACGUCGUAGUAGGGCACAUUUCUGCAGUAUUCUUUUAUUUGCCACAUGCACCGGUUGUCUGAUACCAGACACAUCUCCCAGCAUGGGGACGAGCGGUUGGCUCGCUGUACAACAGGCGGGGGUCGCUGUGUCUCCCGCAUAAACUGCAUCUCUAUUGUUCUGUUGCGUUUUAAGCGAGAAAUGCGUUAGUGUGAACCGGAGAGGUGGCGCUCCGCUGACUAGUACAGACGGUUGAUGAAAGACCAGGGCAGUGCGUCGAUGAUAGCUGGCAACAAGAGCAGCUUUUGUUUCUCAGCUGAGGCCUUCGAACCGGUACAGAUUUGACAACGGACAGCGGCAGGCGGACUGGUGCAGUUUCUGGUGGUACCAAACGGGAAGGUAGCGCUGCAUUUUGGUGUUUUUUCUGACUCAUAACGCCAAAACGCGCUUCUCCAAGAACAAUGUACACGGCGUAAACACGGUGUGUCUAUGGACGGGGGCCCAAUAUGUCGAGACUGGCAGACAGCCGACUGUACAAGAUGGAUCUCCGCACUCGGCAACAUCUCAAAACCAGCCACAAGCAAAUGAUGAUUGGGUCAAUGUUUUUAAUAGCGUGAUUGCGUACGGAAGUGCUUGCUGCUGUAUCACGAAAUACUGAAUGUAUUCAGUACGUUACAAACAGUCAUACUCAAAAAUUGAUUGGUUCGCCUGGCCGACCCAGAUCAUAUCGUUUGAGAGCGUCGUGAGUGAUCCAGGACCAGAGCAACACUUCUGCAAGUGUCGUGUUGAAUUUCUGACGCUCAGGAACCUCAUGCCGAAGAAGACUCAUCUUUGGGUCGCCACGUCGUUGGCAGCUCACACCGAUGAUGGGAUAAACAACCCCCCAACAUAAGUGGGCAAAGAAUCACUCAAGCUACCAGUGACUCGUGGUUUGGUUGACGUCUCGUCGCGACAAUCAUCCAGGAGACUCCCGUAAGUGCUGGAUGUAGAAUGUCUUAACGUUGCAGUCGCAACACCGAGGGUUUAUUGUGCGACUCCACCUACCAGUGCAUGAACUGGGGAGCAGUGAGAG